CACGUAGGAGACAAGCGUUAUCCGGAUUUACUGGGUGUAAAGCGCGUGCAGGCGGUCGAGUAAGUUGGAUGUGAAAGCUCCCGGCUUAACUGGGAGAGGUCGUUCAAAACUGCUUGGCUAGAGGAUGGCAGAGGAGAGUGGAAUUCCGAGUGUAGCGGUAAAAUGCAUAGAUAUUCGGAAGAACACCAGUGGCGAAGGCGGCUCUCUGGGCCAUGACUGACGCUCAGACGCGAAAGCUAGGGUAGCAAACGGG
rnacentral:rRNA from 1 species